CUGCUAAAAAACCUACAUUAAUCACUUCUCUUACAGAUAGCUACAGACCUGUCUCUCUCCUUCCAUUCAUAGCGAAAACCCUCGAAAGAGUUGUUUUCAAACAGGUAUCACUGUUUCUUUCUGUGAGGAGGCAGGUUUGAAAAACACAGGAAUUAUGGUGCAGCCACAAUUGCACAACAGUGCAAGGUCAUUUAUUUCCAGUGUCCACAGUCCCAAAAUACAAAAAUGUUACAAAAUAUUUACAACCAGCGCUUCGCUGAGCUACCUUCCACAAAAACGGAUUUCAACAUGCAUGGCUUGCACUACCAACUGUCCUCCUCAACUUCCCCCUCCUCAGUGAGAGAUAAAUCAACCCUUUUAUAGCACAGAGAGAAAAGAGAGUAACCAUUUGAAGGUAAGUACAAGAUAAGGAGCACUUUUUCAACCUUCUACAAAAAGAACAGUCCAGCCAGCGGAAGCAGAUCCAACACGGAAGACACCACAAGCAAGAAACCUCACAGCACGAACAGAGACACAAACUGACAAAUACACAGAUAAGUAAAUAAAAGAUGUAAUAAUUAAACCUAUCUGGUGUGUGCAUGUGAUUACUGAAAUGGUUAUAGCAGGGAUAUGUGAAGAUUAAAGUGAGUGUAUGCAUGUAUGCCAACAUAACAGUCGCACAAACCCUAUUUCCCUUUAUGUAUUCCAUCUCUUUCAAGCUUGUACUUAAACAAUGCCUAAAACUUGGUAUUACAAGCACUUCCUGUGUCUGUUUGCCUCUUUCAAAAGAAUCACUUAAUGUAUUCCCCAAUUGCAAACUGACUAAAUGUAAAUGUGUGUACAGGAGUAUUGAGGGUGGAAGAGAGUGUCCUACAUUGACUCCCCCCACGACACUUCCUGGAGGACCUGAGACUCGAAACUCACAACCUUCGGGUUACAAGUCCGACUCUCUAUGUAUUUGGCCACGGCUGAUUGAGCGAGAGUGUGUGUGUGUUGUGUGUUUUGCUCUGAUUCGUCCAUACGGCCCUUCUUUGAUGUACAGAUGACUGACAUCACCUAUAAAAUCCUGAAGAGCCUGUUUACGCCUGCAGCUGGUCCCCUCCAUACCUGCAUGCACACACCAGACACACACAUCACACUUGCACACAGUGUUUCCUCACAGCUGAGGAGUGUGUGUUUUAGCAUGACCGGCGACGAUGAAAGUUGAGUUGUCUGAGGAUGUUCAUCAGCUGACUGAUGACUCUGUCCACCCCCUGCAGAGCCAAGAUCAGCUGCACACACACACAGAUGUCAGCAGAUGUUUUGAAGUUGAAUGUAUUUUUUCAAUAUAAAUCAGCAUUUUAAAGCUGUUUGUGACAUUAGAUCAACAUCAUCUGAUGCUUCUGGAAUUUAUAUGUCACCAGAGAUAGGAAGUGAUAAGAAGCGUGUGAGAGAAAGAUCAUCAGCACACACCAGUGAGUGUGUGUCACCCACUUGUGAUUUCUGAUAAACUGCUGAGUGUGUGUGUGUGUUCUCACGCCUCUGCUGACAGGUCCAUAACUGUGUCCUGAACUAUCCGGCUCCUCUAAGUAGAUUGUGAAGAAACACACAGACAUGUCUGAUUGAUGGACAUCCAGUGAACCUUGUUUUGCCUUUGAAUGAAGUUUAUUUUUCUGACCCCCCAUGGACGGAUUUUUUUCAUUUUGAUCAGUUUCAGAAAAUAAGAAUUAAUCUUCUGUUAUUUAAAUGUAUCGUUUUAAGAAUGUUUAAAUCUUUGUUCAGGAAAGGACACAAACGAAAUACAGAAAUCUAAGUAAGAUUUUUUUUUUUUGUAUUGAAUGUUAACAGGUUGUGAAAAAAACAUUUAAGACGCUCCAGCUGUGAAAACUCCCUAAACACUAGAUCCUGCAGAUUCAGACACACGAUGUGAUGAAGGACGGUCACACACACACACACAAACACACACACACACACACACACACUCACACACUCACACACACAAACACACACACACACACUCUCACACACACACACAGACACACACACACACACACACACACACACGCACGCACACUCACACACACAAACACACACACACACACACACACACACACACACACACACACACACACACACACACACACACACACACACACACACACACACACACACACACACAAUAUAUGAUCAGGUCACACAUUCAGUCAUGUUUGAGUUUGCUCUGUGAGCUGAUAUAAUAAAUCGAAUGUUUGAAAGCAGGUAAAUGUAGCCCAUUAUUACUACUAUUAAUAAG
ensembl:lncRNA